rnacentral:rRNA from 1 species
UACGGAGGAUGCAAGCGUUAUCCGGAAUGAUUGGGCGUAAAGCGUCCGCAGGUGGCUGUGUAAGUCUGCUGUUAAAUAGUGAGGCUCAACCUCAUAAAGGCAGUGGAAACUACACGGCUAGAGUGCGUUCGGGGCAGAGGGAAUUCCUGGUGUAGCGGUGAAAUGCGUAGAGAUCAGGAAGAACACCGGUGGCGAAAGCGCUCUGCUAGGCCGCAACUGACACUGAGGGACGAAAGCUAGGGGAGCAAAUGGG